rnacentral:rRNA from 1 species
UUGAACGCUGGCGGCAUGCCUUACACAUGCAAGUCGAACGGUAACAGGGAGCUUGCUCCGCUGACGAGUGGCGAACGGGUGAGUAAUAUAUCGGAACGUGCCCUGGAGUGGGGGAUAACUAGUCGAAAGAUUAGCUAAUACCGCAUACGAUCUAAGGAUGAAAGUGGGGGAUCGCAAGACCUCAUGCUCGUGGAGCGGCCGAUAUCUGAUUAGCUAGUUGGUAGGGUAAAAGCCUACCAAGGCAUCGAUCAGUAGCUGGUCUGAGAGGACGACCAGCCACACUGGGACUGAGACACGGCCCAGACUCCUACGGGAGGCAGCAGUGGGGAAUUUUGGACAAUGGGCGCAAGCCUGAUCCAGCAAUGCCGCGUGAGUGAAGAAGGCCUUCGGGUUGUAAAGCUCUUUUGUCAGGGAAGAAACGGUGAGAGCUAAUAUCUUUUGCUAAUGACGGUACCUGAAGAAUAAGCACCGGCUAACUACGU